CACGACCGCCGACCGAUCUCCGACCCCUGAGCGCGACUCCGCCACUAGCCCUGGCGCCACUCUUCGCUCGAGCGCUGCCGCCCUCCCAAAGGCUCUCCUCUGCCGUUGUUGCCCUCUCUCAGGCUCGAGCGCUGCCGCCACCAUCGGGCUCUUCGUCGCCACCAUCCCUCCAGGUCGAGCACCGCGGCCACCACCCUGAGCCCGUCCUCCGCCGCUGGGCUCAAGAUCUCGCGCCAUGUCGAGCUCUCUGGCCAUGGAAGCAAAUCUGAGCUCCAUCGUGCUCCCGUCGGGGCGCAAUCAUCAGGUUUUGUCAAACGAAGUUCUUGAGCAUUUUUUUCAUUGACAUGUCUUCACAUUUUUCUGUAUUUGUUGUCUUUAUUUUUUCCA
rnacentral:lncRNA from 1 species